UAAUCAAUGAACUUGAAUAAGUAUAUAUUUUGAAAAUAUAAAAAAGAAAUUAUAAUUCUAUUGAUU
rnacentral:tRNA from 1 species